AAAAAGACAAACUCUAGAUUUCCGUGUCCAAUAUUUGACUGUCCGUCUUAUAUGAAAUUUUUUAUAAUUAGUAUUUUUAUUAUUGUUAGAUGAUAAAACAUGAUUAAUACUUUAUACGUGACUUGUCUUUUUAAUUUUUUUUCAUUUUUUUUUAAAUAAGAUGGACGGUCAAAUGUUAAACACGGAAAUUCAGGGUUUGUCUUUUU
rnacentral:pre_miRNA from 1 species